rnacentral:rRNA from 1 species
CGUGUAGGCGGCUGGCUAAGUCUGGUGUGAAAGCCCGGGGCUCACCCCCGGAAGUGCGCUGGAAACUAGUCAGCUAGAGUAUGGGAGAGGGAAGUGGAAUUCCUGGUGUAGCGGUGAAAUGCGUAGAUAUCAGGAGGAACACCGGCGGCGAAGGCGGCUUCCUGGACCAAUACUGACGCUGAGACGCGAAAGCGUGGGGAGCAAACAGGAUUAGAUACCCUGGUAGUCC